AAGAGGAUCUCCAGAUGCAAAUAUACGACCGUAGGUAGUACUUCUUCAGUCAAGCCUCAUAGCAGAGUCGGUCCGGUUCGUCGGUUGCGCGUUUGAGUCAUGGUGGGCUUCCUUUGUCUUAGGGUCGGUUGUUUUCCGGGGGACGCUUUAGCCAAGCGCUCGUUUUUUGCAGGCCUCCUCUCGCGAGGUUGCCUGUUCCUUGAGCCUUCGGCUGCCAUUUGCGUGGCACCCUGUCCCUCUACCCCCAACCUAUGCCCUUGUGAUUACAGUCCCUACACCAUGCUUCUUUUUUUCUCUCCUUAUCAAGUCCUGUGUGGGAGCUCAAAUAUUGUCAGUUGUGUCUUCUUUUCCAGUACAAUCUGGUUCCAGAGUUUGUGGGACAUCAAUACUUCUGGUUUCAAUUCCAUAGCAAGUUCUAUUUGUCGGAUUUGUCGGUGUGUGCCUGUCGUAGAAGCUUGACUCCGGUUCUUCGAUCCGUGUCUAGGUGUCUGCUACGAUCUCUUUCAGUGUGUGGUUGUUCCAGUUCCAGUCUCUUCAUGGUCUGUAGUGUGUGUGUGCUGUGCGUGUGUGUCGUCGGCGGUGGAUGGUCGCUUUUCUGCAGCAUCUGUAGGGGUUGCCUGAUGUCCCCGGGGAUCUGGCCUUGGCAAGGUGCAACAUAUCAAAGGGCCCUUGCCAUGACAACCUUGUGUGGUUGUUUUUUGUCUCCAGAUCCCCGGUUUUUGCAGGCGUGUGGUUGAGUGCUGUAACCUUUGCAAUCAUCCUGGGAUAAAUUUGUUUCCGUCCAAUUUCUAUGCUUUUACUUACCUGCAACCUUGUGAUUUUAUGAAUUGCUACUUCCUUGUACUGUGUCUAAAUGUCUGUGAUAUGGCCGGAGCUGCUGUGCUUGAUGCCACCACUGAGAUGAACAUCUCGCAGCCACCCUUGACAACUGCAUGAAAUAUAUUUUUGGCUCUGAAUUUUGCUGAAUCGUAUUGCUGAUUGAAACAACAUCCGGUAUAUGCUGUAUGCUUGGGGAACUGUGAAAUUCUUUUCCAAAUGUUCUCAAACAGGUUCUGGUGUACGUAAAAUUGUGCUAAGAUCACCUGUUUCGCUUCUUGAUCUUCAUCAGCAGGACCGUGUAUUUGCAUCUCCGAAUCCUGGUUCCUCGGCUUCGGCUACUAGAUAGGAUAGCUUAAGAGUUUUAGUCCUUAUAAGGGCAACGCUUCGACAGAGUUUUAGUCCUUAUAAGAGCAAUACUUACAUUCAUUUUUGUAUUUCGGACUUCGAUCCUCCUUAAGUUUGUUUGUUGGGUCGGAUUAGAUAGAGCCCCGAUAUAGAUUCCUGUCAGCUCCCUAUUCCUGUCAGCUCCCUGGACUGGUUAAUUUUUUUUGUUGUGCAUAUGUGACGACGAUAUUUGAUGGCAGGUUCUUCGGCUCGAUUUGAUUCAAUGGUUCAACGGUGGUGACUAUGGCUCCGGGGUGUUGGUCCUUAAGAGCAUGGGCAUGAAGACCUAGUACGGAAGCGGCAACAAUGGCGCGUCGACGGCUCACUUUGGCAGCGACGGUGUUGUUUGGUAAUACAAAGGCCUCGAUAUAAUUUCAAUUAUGUUCUUGACGCUUCGUGCUAACAAAUCUGGGUUUUCUGGAAAAGAAAAAGAAAUGUGCCAGAUCAACAGGCAGCCCCUGAAGGUCUUUGCCGUCCGACGUUGCCAAGUAGUACCAGCAUGAAGUUUGGCCCAGCCUUGUAGCUACCGGCUCCUCCUCCUUUCCGUUCGGGUGAGUAGGCAGGUCCAUGUGCGUCCCCUCGCCGCCGUCCCUCUCAUCCCAUUCUUCGUCUUGCUUCCGUCCUCCCCCACCUCCUGCCCCGGUUCAUGCACCUCUUCCGUUUGCUGCCUCGCUAAUCGCCCUACGUCACCGGGGUGACGAGAUUACCGGUCGAGUGUUGGCAAUAAUAAAGGCCGUUGCUUUGCUUUCGUGAGCCUUCUGGUUUUGGUGCGAGAGGCGGCCAGGUUCGUCGCCCAAUGGCAUGAAGGGUAGUUGCACUAGCGGUAGAGUAUUAUGAGUAUGAUCACGGCGUGCACGCCGUGGCCAAAUGGGGACGUUGCAACGCACAUUUGACUAUGCCAGCGUCGCCGUCGGACGACCCUUUCUACUCCUCGAUCAUGGUAGCACCCAGAUUUUUUAUCCUGGCAGCACCCAGAUAUUGGCGUACAGGUGUAGUGUGCAUCCACGGUUGUUCAACGCCCCUCUCCUCGUGUAAAGAAGCGUCGUCGCGUCCACUGCUUUUGGUGAGAUAGGUGGACACAAACGGUGGAUGUGAAAUACUAUGUCGCGAUCGAACAAUCUUGACGGGAUCCAGGGCGAAAUUGUGCAUAGUGGUAGCAUGAAGUUUCCCUGGCCGGUUCCUCCUCUCCAGCGAGCAAGCUUUUCUUGCUGUUGUUCUUCCCCUGCUCCGGUACGUGCACCUGUGGACGUCAUUACUCAUUAGGGUGGCGAGCGAAAUUACCGGUCGAUUGCUUUGCAUCAAAGGCCCGCUGCUCUGGUUAUUAUACUUUUCCUUCCUGGGAGGAGGCCAGGUUCGUCUGGAUUUUGUUGGGAUAUGACAUGAAAAGUUCACGAUUGGAGUGUGAUGGUUAUUUAUUGUUGACGCAUGCCUCCUGACCUGGUCACCCACGUCCUCUCUCUCACGUUCCCACGUUCUGCCACCACUGCAUGCUCAACUGCUCGCACGAGUCUCUGCCACUACGGUGUGCACGAUUGUACAUGUAAAACUAUAUAAGCUGAUCAAUACGAUGUCAAGCACGACAGUGUGCAUUGCUCAAUCUGUCUUCAUGGUAUCAGACGCUCGUCGUUCCUGAGCCUCUCCAGUUCUUCCGCUGCCCCGCUCUGGUGAGCACGAUGGCCACUCCUCCCCCAGGCUAUGUUCGUGACCUCGCCGGAGCCUUUGACCAGGCCGGCGCACCUACCGCGGGUGCCGCUCCCGGCGUCAGCAUCGCCCCUGCUGCCCCCGUAUCUGCCGCGCCUCCUGCACCUCCUACGGCACCGGCGCCACCAGUGCCGGCCUCGACCGCGCUCUUCAUCCCCCCUGCGCCUGUCUUCCCCUUCGCGACUGCCUCGGCUGCUCCCAUCCCUGCUCCAUCGCCACUCAGCGCCGUCUACAUCAACCAGCAUGUGCCGGUCGUGCUCAGCCUCAACCCGUCGAACUACUCGCCGUGGCGCACCAUGUUCGAGUUGGCCUUUGCCAAAUUCGGUGUUCUGGAUCACAUCCUCGGCGCGCCGCGUCCCACCGACGCGCAGUGGGUGCAGGACGACGCGUUCAUCACUUCAUGGCUGCUGAACCGCGUGUCGCCGGAGAUCCUCUCCCUCGUCCACCAGCGCCACCCCACUGCGGCGCACAUUUGGAGCGCCAUCGCGACGCUCUUCCUCGACAAUGCGGAGACCCAGGCGGUGUUCAUCGGCACCGACUUCCGUCGCCGACAUGACCAUGCUGCGCUACUUCGCCCGGCUCAAGGAGUACGCCGAUCAGCUGGCUGACCUCGGCUUCCCCGUUGACGACAAGGCGCAGGUGAUGAACAUGUUCCGUGGCCUCAACCCACGGUACUUCUACGCCAUCCCGAUCCUCACGAUGCAGGUCCCCUUCCCAUCGUUUCUGCGCUGCCGCGCGUUCCUGAUCCUGGAGGAAUCGCGCCUGAACAUGGCGUCGCCCGCGCCAACUGACAUGGCUCUGCAUGCUGGCCGUGCACCCGCUGCUGCUGCACCGGCGCCGGCGCCGGCGCCCCCAACCAACUCCACUCGCAACGGCAACCGGAACCGGAACAAGGGCAAGGGCAAGGCGGUCCAGUCGUCCGGCUACGCCGACGGCUCAUCCAGCGGCUCAUCGUCAACUGGCGGCCUGCCAGCAGGGCGCCUCGUCCAGCUUCCUGCACCCGCCACGAACCCAUGGACGGGCAUGGUUCACGCCUGGCCCAUGCCGUGGCGUGCUCACGCUCCCGGAGCUGGCGUCCUCGGCCCGCGCCCUGGCGCUCCAUCACCGUUCGCCGGACACGCCGCCCACUACGCGCCGCCGCCACCGCCCCCGGCUGCACCCACCUACCAAGGUGCGGCCUGGGACCAAUCAGCGUUGGUUCAGGCCCUCAACAACCUGUCGCUCCAACAGCAGCAGGCGCCGCCGCCGCCAUCGAGUGAGUGGUACCUCGACACCGGCGCCACGUCGCACAUGUCGUCCUCGUCAGGUAUGCUCUCCGAUCUCAGUCCCUCUUCUUCCCGUAUAGUUUUUGGCAACGGCAACACGCUGCCAGCCCUGCACUCCGGCCACCUCGCAAUACCAACAUCUACCACACCCAUCCACUUACACAACGUUCUUGUCUCUCCCUCACUAAUCAAAAACCUCAUAUCUGUUAAAACUCUCUGUCGUGAUAAUCCUGUUAAUGUCGAGUUUGACGAUUUCGGUUUUUCUAUCAAGGACCGACGAACCCGGAGGGUGAUCCUCCGAUGUAACUCCACCGGCGACCUGUACCGCGUCAGCGUGCCCCCGCUCCACUGCAGCCUCCACGCCCACGCCUCCAUCUCUGCCGAUGUCUGGCACCGGCGACUCGCCACCCAGGACGCACCACGCUUGCUCGGGCGCUUCGAUCCAUCGCCCCUGGCGCUCAUGAUGCACCAGCUCGUACUUGUCAUGCAUGUCAAUUAGGAAAAAAUGUUAGAUUUCCCUUUCCAGAUUCACAUCAUGUUUCCUAUUUUCCAUUUCAACUUGUACAUUGUGAUGUCUGGACAUCACCUAUCUUAAGUGCAUCAGGUUUCCGUUAUUACUUGUUGCUUCUCGAUGACUACAGCCACUUCUCUUGGACAUUUCCCUUGCGCUACAAAUCAGAUGCCUUUGCUGCUAUCCAACGUUUUCGUGCGCUAGUUCAGACACACUUCAACCUGCCGAUCCUUACUCUACAAGCUGACAACGGACGAGAGUUCGACAGCCAUGCCGCCCGCGCCUUCUUCGAUACCUAUGGCAUCGCGUUUCGCAUGUCUUGCCCUUACACGUCUUCGCAAAACGGGCGUGCCGAGCGCAUGCUCCGCACCCUAAACGAGACUGUCCGUGCCCUGCUCACCCAAGCGUCCAUGCCGCCCACGUUCUGGGCCGAAGCUCUCGCCACGGCCACCUUCCUUCACAACCGUCGCCCGUGCCGUGUUCGCCAGUACCUUACUCCUUUUGAGCUUUUGUACUGCGCCCCUCCCGAUUAUAGUGGCAUCCGCGUCUUCGGAUGCCUCUGCUACCCGAACACCAGCGCCACUACCGCCCACAAGCUUGCGCCGCGCUCUGUUGCCUGCGUAUUCCUCGGCUACUCGUCGGAGCACAAGGGCUACCGGUGCCUCAACCGCGCCACCGGCCGCGUGCUCAUCUCCCGCCAUGUUUACUUCAACGAGGAACAAUUCCCCUUCGCCUCCAUUGAUGCCACACCCCUGCCUACUUCGGUCGUCGAGGACUUCCAGCCUCAGCCCUCGCCUCCGCCUACUGGGACACCAAGUGUGCCCUCCACAUGCCACCAGCAGCCUGCCGUAGCAGCGUCCAUUUCCUGCCGCCACAGCACCCCCGUUGUCACAUCCCUAGUCUGGUAUGACCUAGACUAGCUAGCCAUUUGUGCAUCAUAUUUAAAUUUCAUUUAAAUUUGAAAUGAGGAUCGGUGGAACCCUCAGAAUCAUUUUUGAAAAUGACCCAAAUAAAAAUUUCUCCAAAAGGGUCCAAGAAAAUGCUCAUGUUGCCCUCUGAAAGGACAGAGAUAAAAAUCAAAACAAUAUUUUUAGGAGCUCAUGAAUAUUUAUUUUGGCCAUUUGGAUUAAUCCGAUAAAUAUUUGCAUUGGAAAUAUAUUUCUAUAUAUAUGAAAUAUGGUCCAAAAAUUAUGCCAAUUAUAAAAGAGCUCUGGAAUAAUAUAUCUAGCUCCUGCAAAAAUUGGCAUAAGGUAAUAAAUUGAUUUAGUAUUUUAUUAAAUCAAAACAAAUGUCAGAAAAAAAUUAGAAAACAAAAUAAAAGGAAGGAGGGGCUUACCUGGGGCUCCCCCCUGUGCAGCCCAGCCGCAGCAGGCCGGCCCAGCCAGCAGGCGGCCCAGCCCACCUGCCCCCCCUCCUCUGUCGUCUUCCUCCCCGACAGGGGGACGGCGCGUGCCCGGCGCGCGCGCGCGCCACCGCGCCACGCCACCUCCCUCCCUGCUUGCCUGGCGCCUCCUCGUCGCCCUGGAACGCCGGACGACGCCACGCAGCCCCCCCGUACCCUCUCACUCUUCCCCGAUCCUUCCUCUCCUCUCCCUCGCUCUCUCUCUCCCGUGUCCGAACGCGUGGGUCGCCGCCGUUCGCCAUAGCCAUCGCCACCGGUCUCCCCUCGCCUCCCCGACACGCGCAGGAGCUUCGCCCCCUCGCCCUGAAGCUCCUCGUCAAGCCGUGCCCCUCCGGACGUCCCGUGGAGCCGCCGCCGUCGUCUUUUCCAUCGCCGGCCGCUGUGGAUCCCCAUCGACGCUCCGGCCGCUUCAGUGCGUCCCCGAGCCCACUUCGACUGCCGCUGCAACCGCGGUGAGCUCCGCCACCGCUUCCCCCUCCCCGUUUAACUGCCCGCGCGCCGUAGCACCGUUCCCCACCACGGCCGAAGCCUCUCGCCGCCGUCCAUGUCGCCGUCGCCGUCUCGGCCCGCCUCCGCCCAAACUAAGCACCCUAGCGUGCUCCCGGUGCCACGAGGGUGCCGCCGAGCCCCUCAGGUGGCCUCCCCGUGCCCCGCAGCCCAUUUCCGCUCGAAGCCGAACUCCGGCCGCCGCCCCGAGCUUCGCUCCGGCGAGCUCCGGCAUCCCCGCGGCUUCCCGUCUGCUCCCCUGGAUGCGGACGAGCCCGGGCUACGCCCCGGUGCUCUCAGACGCCGUCCCCGUGGCCUGUGGCGCGGACUCCGCCGCGUCCAGAGGUCGCCGGCGGCGAGCCCCGUCGCCUGAGCCCUGCCAUGAGGGCCCGGCCCGUCAGGUGAUUAGCUUAGUGCUAAUCACCAUUUAAUUAACCCCCCUGACACUGACAGUGGGCCCCAGCGCCACUAACUUCUAAUUAGGAUUUAAUUAACCCCUGUUUAACCCCCCUGUCACUGACGUGUGGACCCCACGUGUCAGAUUUGACCUGGACAGCCGCGUUGACCCGCUGAUGUAGUGAUGACGUCAUGCUGACGCAAUUAUAUAUUUUCUGGAAUUAAAAUAAUUCAGAAAUUCCAGAAAAUGAUUUAAACUUCAAAAAUUCAUAGAAAUUCAACCGUAGCUCAGAUUGAAAUAUUUUAUAUAUGAAAAAUUAUCAAAAAAAUGCAAUCUUUCCAUCUGUACUAGUUUCAUGCAUGACAAACCAACUUAUACAUGCUGAAUAUGAGAAAACACAUUAUGGCAUAUUAAGAGACUUAUUUUUGGAGUUGCAUUUGAACCUUUUGUUCAAAUGGACUUCAUUCAAUUGAAUACUAGUUGCAUUAGCUCAAACAGCAUCACAUCUACAUGCCAUGUUCAUGCAUCAUAUUGUUGCAUAUGAUUGUGUAUUGAUUGCCGGCACCGUUCUUUCUCGAUAGGUCCUGCUCCGGAGACGUUCCAGAGUACCUGUCUGUGAAGCAGUGCCUCCCUUGUUGAUUUACCAGGCAAGCAAACCCCCUUGUUCAUUUCGAUAAAACCCUACUCUCUCGCUCCUGCUCUCAGUUAUUGCAUUAGGACAACAACGGUUCAUCUGCUACUUUGUGCUGCGGUAGUUGAACCCAUUCCUCUGCAUGACCUGUCAUUGCCACAGUAAAUAGUUAAAACCCACUAGCAUGUGUAGGAGUUGAUUGAAGCCAUUGUUGUGUUCCUACCAUGCUAUGCCUGCUAUUGCUUAGAGUUGUGUCAGGUCUGGUUCAUUGGGAAUGAAUUGGAGUGUCACGAUAUGUUCUGAUGCUGAGAGUGAAGUGUGUGAACACGAUUUGGUAAAGGUAGCGGUGAGAGGCCAUGUAGGAGUACAUGGUGGGUUGUCUCACUGGAACCGUCCUUAAGCACCGAGUUCUAUGUAUGUUGUCCAAUGACUCGAUACUACCACACAUUGGGCUCCGGGCGCUCCAAGCCCUCUCGACUUAUUAACCGACUUGAUCUCUGUCCAGGAGUCGCAACUAGUUUCUGGUGUUUGUAGGUAGUGCUAUUUUUCUACCAGGUGGCACCCGGCAGGGUGGGCUUGGGACAGACUAGGCACACGUGGCACGGUGUACCGAGUGGCACCCGGUUGGUGGGCUCGGGAACCCUGCUCACAUCGUUUGGGGCCGUGAGCGACACCCCGGCCGGAUCUCCUUGCGGAUGGAACCNNNNNNNNNNNNNNNNNNNNNNNNNNNNNNNNNNNNNNNNNNNNNNNNNNNNNNNNNNNNNNNNNNNNNNNNNNNNNNNNNNNNNNNNNNNNNNNNNNNNNNCAUUACCCUCUUGAUACAAAUGCAUGUAUGAUAGGAUCUGAUGUAAGUCUUGCUGAGUACCUUUGUACUCAUGUUGCUUUAUUUAUGCUUUUGCAGCGGAGACUCCGGUCUUACUAGUGUUCUCGUGGACUUCGACUAGUAGCUAGUACCUCAGCUACGAUCUUGAUCGGAUGUUGUAGAUAGUCAGGCUCUUCAGCCUUUUUCAUUUAUAGAUGUCUGUACUCAGACAUGUAAUGCUUCCGCUUGUUGUUUGAUUGCUCUGACUGUUGGGUCAUGUGACCCCUGUUUGUAAUAAUGCUGUGAUGGCUCUUCUGAGCCUUUAUCUAUAUAAGUUGUUGAGUUAUGCUGUGAUGCCAUGUUGUACAGCACAUACUUGCAUGUUAUGCGUACGUGUAAUGUGUAUUGCUAUGUGUGGGAUCUGACUAUCUAGUUGUUUAUCCUUAGUAGCCUCUCUUACCGGGAAAUGUCUCCUAGUGCUUCCACUGAGCCCUGGUAGCUUGCUACUGCUCCGGAACACUUAGGCUGGCCGGCAUGUGUCCUUCUUCGUUCCUGUGUCUGUCCCUUCGGGGAAAUGUCACGCGAUGAAUACCGGAGUCCUGUUAGCCCGCUACAGCCCGGUUCACCGGAGUCCUGUUAGCCCAGUGCUACAGCCUGGAUUCACUCGCUGAUGACCGACACGUUCGAUGCUGGGUCAUGGAUGCCUGUCCCUGUAAGUUAGUGCCACUUUGGGUUUACGACUAGCCAUGUCAGCCCGGGCUCUUUAUCAUAUGGAUGCUAGCAACACCAUCAUAUACGUGUGCCAAAAGGCGCAAACGGUCCCGGGCAAAAGUAAGGCGACACCCGUGGGGAUACCGUGCGUGAGGCCGCAAAGUGAUAUGAGGUGUUACAUGCUAGAUCGAUGUGGCAUUGAGUCGGGGUCCUGACAGCGCUGGUAUCAGAUCCUGACUGCCUGUAGGAUUACCAAGCCAAACUGGUCGAAGUUGAGUCUAGAAAAUCUUUAGUUAUGUAAGGGAAUUGAUUGUGGGAAGGAACGUAAGGCUCUUUUUACUCCUUAUACCUCAUGACCUUCUGAUCUGAGUCGUCCUAUCUUUCCGACGGGGUUAAGGAACUAGGCUUUCUCUUCCGUCUAUCAGGAUCACGUGUUACUACUCCGUAGUCCCAUAGGAUUGGUUGAUCAGAGUCAUACCCCAGUUUUCGAGUACUUCCAGUGUAGUCUGUUUAGUACUACCUCCGAACUUUGAGUGAUGAUGAUGAGUAUGUUACCACCCCAUUUUUAGUAGGAUGUCUCAUUCUGAGCAUUUUGCUGCCGUUAUGCUGCCGGAAUUUUCCUAGGAGUUCGAGAGAUACUAAUUCCUUGUCCUACAUUCUACAGUCUAUAGUUGAUGCUGAUUCCGUCCCUGGUUUUCGUUUCUCAGGAUGUCAUCAAGUUCUAUUGUUCGUAGCCGGAACCAUGAGGAUGGUAGGGAUGAGGAUCCUCCUGACUAGCCUUCGUUGACAGAGUUCAUGUUAGAAAUGGAGAGGAACAAGCGUGAGUCCAACCGCUUGUUGGCACGUAUCGAGGAGAACACCGCACAUCAGUUCAAAGGGUCUGCUACCAUUCAUGACUUCAUUCGUUUGCAUCCCCCCACCUUUCAUCAUUCCAUCGAGCCACUCGAUGCAGAUGACUGGCUCCGUAGCAUCACUCAUAAGCUGCGUUCCGCGAGCGUAGCUGAAGAUGACAAGGUCACUUAUGCCACAUACCACCUGGAAGGUCCUGCUAGUCUUUGGUGGCAGAACUAUGAGGCUUUGCUUCCAGCUGGCCAGAUUCCUACCUGGAGAGAUUUCACUCAGGCUUUUCGCGAGCAUCACGUUCCCCAGGCCCUCAUUGAUCGCAAGAGAGAAGAGUUCUGCAGUUUCACCCAGAGUAAGAUGGCUGUUGAUGCUUAUAGCAGAGAGUUUGAGAACCUCGCCCGUUAUGCCACAGAAGAAGUGUCCACGGACGCCAAGAAGCAGGCUAGGUUCCGAAAGGGUCUCAACCCCAAGUUGCGUCGUGAUCUCCACCUGCAUCAUUGUGAUACAUUCCAAGCCCUUGUGAACAAGGCCAUCAAUGCAGAGACAGCUCAACUCACUUACGAGGAGUCUCGUAAGCACACCCGUGAUUUGGGAUCUCCCUCUGGCUCUAGUUCCCAGAAACGCCGGAUUUGGGUUCCAAACUCCGCUCUUCCUUCCGGAUAUGCACCGAGGCCAUCCUAUGUGGUGCCUUCCCCAGCUCAGUCGUGUGUUCCACCCUUGCCUACUGGUAGACUGCUUGUUAGUGCGGGUCCAUGUCCAACCUUAGGGACUUGCUUCACAUGCGGGAAGCCAGGACACUAUGCACGUGAUUGCUCUCAGACUAGUUAUGCUCCACCCCAGCCCGAGAAGACUGUUGACUGUAUUAAGCCAUCACGCAAGAUGAUCAGUGUCCAGUUAGCUCCCACUGAACAUGGACAUGUGCAUCACGUCUCAGCUAAAGACGCUCAUGAUGAUCCAGAUGUCGUUCUUGGUACACUCCUUGUCAAUUGUCACCCAGCAUCAGUUCUAUUCGAUACUGGAGCAUCUCACUCCUUCAUUUCUGAAAGCUAUGCUAACCUGCACAAUCUGUCAUUUUGUGAUAUGCCAACUCCGCUAGUCAUGCAAACUCCUGGAUCCAAAUGGCAAACCUCUAGUGUAAGCCAUGGUAACGAAAUCCUUGUUGACAGACUUGUAUUCCUUGCCUCACUUGUAGCCCUCAAGUCCUCAGAUAUUAACAUCAUCUUGGGUAUGGAAUGGAUGACAGCUCAUCAUGCCAAGAUUGAUUGUUACACCAGAUCUGUUCAGCUUACACACCCAUCUGGCAAGAUAGUCACCGUCUCCACUAGAGUUGCAAAGCGUCAGCUCUAUUCUCUUAAUGCCAGCCCUCUUCCAGACCUUGAAGAUAUCCCGGUAGUCCGUGACUUUCCGGAUGUCUUUUCAGAGGAACUGCCAGGUGUUCCACCUGACAGAGAUGUAGAGUUCGUCAUAGAUCUUAUCCCAAGAACAGCUCCAAUCUCCCGGAGACCUUACAAGAUGGCACCCUUAGAACUAGCCGAGCUUAAGAAACAACUUGAUGAGUCCUUGCAAAAGGGUUUCAUCCGUCCUAGUUCUUCUCCUUGGGCUUGCCCCGUUCUCUUCGUCAAGAAGAAGGAUGGUACGGACCGGAUGGUUGUAGAUUAUCGUCCCGUUAAUUUGGUCACGAUAAAGAAUAAGUAUCCGCUCCCUAGGAUCAACGACCUGUAUGAUCAGCUCGCUGGAUCCUCAGUCUUCUCCAAGAUGGAUUUGAGGUUAGGAUACCACCAAAUCAAAAUCAGAAAUGGGGACAUUCCCAAGACAGAUUUUGUCACUCGUUAUGGUCAGUACGAGUACACCGUCAUGUCCUUUGGCCUAACCAACGCCCCAGCCACAUUCUCCCGCUUGAUGAACUCGAUCUUCAUGGAGUACUUAGAUAAGUUCGUCGUGGUUUACCUCGAUGAUAUUAUUAUUUACUCAAAGAACGAGGAAGAGCAUGCCGAACAUCUUAGACUUGUUUUAGAAAAACUCAGAGAGCACCGCCUUUACGCCAAGUUCUCCAAGUGUGAAUUUUGGUUGCCAGAAGUGACCUACCUAGGCCACGUAAUCUCUGGUAAGGGCAUUGCUGUCAAUCCCGAGAGAGUCAAGGCCGUUCUCGAUUGGACUCCACCUGAAAUAGUCAAACAAGUUAGGAGUUUCCUUGGUCUAGCCAGCUAUUGUCGCCGCUUUGUUGAAAACUUCUCCAAAGUAGCCAAACCCCUCACGGAACUUCUCAAGAAAGAUAAAAAGUUCGAGUGGUCCCCACAGUGUGAGUACAGUUUUCAGGAACUAAAAAGACGCCUGACUUCUGCUCCCAUACUUGUGCCACCGGAUUUCACUAAAGACUUUAUUAUCUACUGCGACGCCUCACGACAGGGACUAGGUUGCAUUCUUAUGCAGGAUCGUCAUGUGAUUGCCUAUGCAUCUCGACAGUUGCAUCCACAUGAGGAGAAUUAUCCUACACAUGAUCUAGAGCUUGCAGCCGUAGUCUAUGCGCUCAAGACCUGGCGACAUUACCUCCUUGGUAAACGUUGCGAGAUCUACACCGAUCACCAGAGUCUCAAGUAUAUCUUCACCCAACCGGAUCUGAACCUUAGGCAAAGACGUUGGUUGGAGUUAAUCACAGAUUAUGAUCUAGGGAUUACCUACACCCCAGGCAAAGCCAAUGUCAUGGUUGAUGCUCUAAGUUGUAAAUCCUAUUGCAACAAUCUCAUGUUGCAGCAAGGCCAACCACUUCUCCAUGAGGAAUUCUGUAAGCUUAAUCUUCACAUUGCUCCUCACGGGUUCCUUUCUACCCUGGUGGCGAAACCUGAUCUUAAGGAUCAGAUUAUCGCAGCUCAAAAGCAAGACACAGGAAUUUCCCGGAUCAAGAGAAACAUUAAGAAGGGAGUUGGUGGAUGUUUCUCUAUGGAUGAUCGUGGUGUUGUUUUCUUUGAGAAUCGCUUGGUGGUUCCCAAGAAUCAACAUCUGCGACAAUUGAUUCUUAAGGAGGCGCAUGACUCCCCUCUCACGAUUCAUCCCGGUAGUACUAAGAUGUAUCAGGACCUACGCCAGAGGUUCUGGUGGACUAGGAUGAAGAGAGAAAUCGCUCAGUUUAUUGCUAAAUGUGACGUUUGUCGUCGCGUUAAGGCAGAGCAUCAAAGACCUGCUGGCACCCUUCAGCCUUUAGCUAUUCCUGAAUGGAAAUGGGAUAAAGUUGGUAUGGACUUCAUCACCGGCUUUCCCAGGACCAAGAGAGGGAAUAACGCUAUCUUCGUAGUCGUUGAUCGUCUUUCCAAAGUGGCUCACUUCCUUCCUGUUCGAGAAAAUAUCACUGCUAGUCAGCUUGCUGACUUAUACAUUUCUCGAAUAGUGUCACUGCAUGGUGUUCCACUAGAGAUCAAUUCAGACCGUGGCAGUCUUUUCACUUCUCAUUUCUGGGAGAGUUUCCAAACUGCCAUGGGAACCCAUCUUUCCUUCAGUACCGCUUUCCACCCUUGGUCGAGUGGUCAGGUGGAACGGGUCAAUCAAAUUCUCGAAGACAUGCUCAGAGCUUGCGUUAUCUCAUUCGGUAUGGUUUGGGAGAAAUGUCUUCCUUUCGCCGAGUUUGCUUAUAACAAUAGCUACCAAUCCAGCCUCAAGCAAGCUCCUUUUGAGGUUCUCUAUGGACGAAGAUGUCGAACACCUUUGAACUGGUCAGAAACCGGUGAAAUACAAUUCUUUGGACCGGACAUGAUCCAGGAGGCAGAAGAGCAAGUUCGCAUCAUUCGUGGGAAUUUGAAAACAGCCCAGUCUCGUCAGAAGAGCCAGUACGAUCGUCAUCAUAAGGAUAUGACUUAUGAGAUUGGCGCCCAAGCUUACCUUCGGGUUACUCCUUUGAAGGGUACCCAUCGUUUCGGUAUCAAGGGCAAGUUGGCUCCUCGUUACAUUGGUCCCUUUCGUAUUCUCGCUAAACGAGGAGAGGUUGCCUACCAGUUGGAACUACCCCCACAUCUUUCUCGAGUUCAUGAUGUCUUCCACGUCUCUCAACUCAGGCGUUGCUUCUCGGAUCCUAUCCGUGGAGUGGACCACGAAACACUUGAUCUCCAAGAUAACCUCACAUACCGAGAGUACCCGGUUCGCAUUCUUGAUCAAGCGGAGUGUGUUACCCGACGUCAGAACAUCAAGUUUCUCAAAGUUCAGUGGUCUCAUCAUUCCGAGAGAGAAGCUACUUGGGAGCGAGAAGAUCGUCUUCGACUGGAGUACCCCGCUUUCUUUCCGUCGACCCCUGAAUCUCAGGACGAGAUUUUUUCAAGAGGGGGCGAGUUGUCACAUCCCUAGUCUGGUAUGACCUAGACUAGCUAGCCAUUUGUGCAUCAUAUUUAAAUUUCAUUUAAAUUUGAAAUGAGGAUCGGUGGAACCCUCAGAAUCAUUUUUGAAAAUGACCCAAAUAAAAAUUUCUCCAAAAGGGUCCAAGAAAAUGCUCAUGUUGCCCUCUGAAAAUAUUGGACAGAGAUAAAAAUCAAAACAAUAUUUUUAGGAGCUCAUGAAUAUUUAUUUUGGCCAUUUGGAUUAAUCCGAUAAAUAUUUGCAUUGGAAAUAUAUUUCUAUAUAUAUGAAAUAUGGUCCAAAAAUUAUGCCAAUUAUAAAAGAGCUCUGGAAUAAUAUAUCUAGCUCCUGCAAAAAUUGGCAUAAGGUAAUAAAUUGAUUUAGUAUUUUAUUAAAUCAAAACAAAUGUCAGAAAAAAAUUAGAAAACAAAAUAAAAGGAAGGAGGGGCUUACCUGGGGCUCCCCCCUGUGCAGCCCAGCUGCAGCAGGCCGACCCAGCCAGCAGGCGGCCCAGCCCACCUGCCCCCCCUCCUCUGUCGUCUUCCUCCCCGACAGGGGGACGGCGCGUGCCCGGCUCGCGCGCGCGCCACCGCGCCACGCCACCUCCCUUCCUGCUUGCCUGGCACCUCCUCGUCGCCCUGGAACGCCGGACGACGCCACGCAGCCCCCCCGUACCCUCUCACUCUUCCCCGAUCCUUCCUCUCCUCUCCCUCGCUCUCUCUCUCCCGUGUCCGAACGCGUGGGUCGCCGCCGUUCGCCAUAGCCAUCGCCACCGGUCUCCCCUCGCCUCCCCGACACGCGUAGGAGCUCCGCCCCCUCGCCCUGAAGCUCCCCAUCAAGCCGUGCCCCUCCGGACGUCCCGUGGAGCCGCCGCCGUCGUCUUUUCCAUCGCCGGCCGCCGUGGAUCCCCAUCGACGCUCCGGCCGCUUCAGUGCGUCCCCGAGCCCACUUCGACUGCCGCUGCAACCGCGGUGAGCUCCGCCACCGCUUCCCCCUCCCCGUUUAACUGCCCGCGCGCCGUAGCAUCGUUCCCCACCACGGCCGAAGCCUCUCGCCGCCGUCCAUGUCGCCGUCGCCGUCUCGGCCCGCCUCCGCCCAAACUAAGCACCCUAGCGUGCUCCCGGUGCCACGAGGGUGCCGCCGAGCCCCUCAGGUGGCCUCCCCGUGCCCCGCAGCCCAUUUCCGCUCGAAGCCGAACUCCGGCCGCCGCCCCGAGCUUCGCUCCGGCGAGCUUCGGCAUCCCCGCGGCUUCCCGUCUGCUCCCCUGGAUGCGGACGAGCCCGGGCUACGCCCCGGUGCUCUCACACGCCGUCCCCGUGGCCUGUGGCGCGGACUCCGCCGCGUCCAGAGGUCGCCGGCGGCGAGCCCCGUCGCCUGAGCCCUGCCAUGAGGGCCCGGCCCGUCAGGUGAUUAGCUUAAUGCUAAUCACCGUUUAAUUAACCCCCCCUGACACUGACAGUGGGCCCCAGCGCCACUAACUUCUAAUUAGGAUUUAAUUAACCCCUGUUUAACCCCCCUGUCACUGACGUGUGGACCCCACGUGUCAGAUUUGACCUGGACAGCCGCGUUGACCCGCUGAUGUAGUGAUGACGUCAUGCUGACGCAAUUAUAUAUUUUCUGGAAUUAAAAUAAUUCAGAAAUUCCAGAAAAUGAUUUAAACUUCAAAAAUUCAUAGAAAUUCAACCGUAGCUCAGAUUGAAAUAUUUUAUAUAUGAAAAAUUAUCAGAAAAAUGCAAUCUUUCCAUCUGUACUAGUUUCAUGCAUGACAAACCAACUUAUACAUGCUGAAUAUGAGAAAACACAUUAUGGCAUAUUAAGAGACUUAUUUUUGGAGUUGCAUUUGAACCUUUUGUUCAAAUGGACUUCAUUCAAUUGAAUACUAGUUGCAUUAGCUCAAACAGCAUCACAUCUACAUGCCAUGUUCAUGCAUCAUAUUGUUGCAUAUGAUUGUGUAUUGAUUGCCGGCACCGUUCCUUCUCGAUAGGUCCUGCUCCGGAGACGUUCCAGAGUACCUGUCUGUGAAGCAGUGCCUCCCUUGUUGAUUUACCAGGCAAGCAAACCCCCUUGUUCAUUUCGAUAAAACCCUACUCUCUCGCUCCUGCUCUCAGUUAUUGCAUUAGGACAACAACGGUUCAUCUGCUACUUUGUGCUGCGGUAGUUGAACCCAUUCCUCUGCAUGACCUGUCAUUGCCACAGUAAAUAGUUAAAACCCACUAGCAUGUGUAGGAGUUGAUUGAAGCCAUUGUUGUGUUCCUACCAUGCUAUGCCUGCUAUUGCUUAAAGUUGUGUCAGGUCUGGUUCAUUGGGAAUGAAUUGGAGUGUCACGGUAUGUUCUGAUGCUGAGAGUGAAGUGUGUGAACACGAUUUGGUAAAGGUAGCGGUGAGAGGCCAUGUAGGAGUACAUGGUGGGUUGUCUCACUGGAACCGUCCUUAAGCACCGAGUUCUAUGUAUGUUGUCCAAUGACUCGAUACUACCACACAUUGGGCUCCGGGCGCUCCAAGCCCUCUCGACUUAUUAACCGACUUGAUCUCUGUCCAGGAGUCGCAACUAGUUUCUGGUGUUUGUAGGUAGUGCUAUUUUUCUACCAGGUGGCACCCGGCAGGGUGGGCUUGGGACAGACUAGGCACACGUGGCACAGUGUACCGAGUGGCACCCGGUUGGUGGGCUCGGAAACCCUGCUCACAUCGUUUGGGGCCGUGAGCGACACCCCGGCCGGAUCUCCUUGCGGAUGGAACCCGAAUAGGCGAUAAACCUGGACUAGAGUCUUGUGUGGUUAGUCAGGUCGUGGCCGACACCCUCGCCAGGCUUCCGCUUGAAGGUUGCCGAGAUACAUGACGUGUACAUGGCGGUAAGUGGCGAGAGCGUGUGUGAAGAAGUACACCCCUGCAGGGUUAACAUGAUCUAUUCGAAUAGCCGGGUCCGCGGUUAUGGACUUCUUGGAUGCUUACAUGGUACAUAGACAACUUGAAGUGGAUACUCUAAAAUGCUCAAGACAAGUGUGAGUGCUAUGGAUGGCCUUCUCGUAGGGAGACGGGGAUGAAUCCAUAGUAGUGUAUUGUGUGGUGAUUAGUGGACUCGUGUACGUUGUUUCACCUCAAGAGUUUCUGGUAGUCGUAGAACAGGAUAGCCACAGAGUCAAAGCUGGCUUGCUGCAACUAAACCCCACAUUACCCUCUUGAUACAAAUGCAUGUAUGAUAGGAUCUGAUGUAAGUCUUGCUGAGUACCUUUGUACUCAUGUUGCUUUAUUUAUGCUUUUGCAGCGGAGACUCCGGUCUUACUAGUGUUCUCGUGGACUUCGACUAGUAGCUAGUACCUCAGCUACGAUCUUGAUCGGAUGUUGUAGAUAGUCAGGCUCUUCAGCCUUUUUCAUUUAUAGAUGUCUGUACUCAGACAUGUAAUGCUUCCGCUUGUUGUUUGAUUGCUCUGACUGUUGGGUCAUGUGACCCCUGUUUGUAAUAAUGCUGUGAUGGCUCUUCUGAGCCUUUAUCUAUAUAAGUUGUUGAGUUAUGCUGUGAUGCCAUGUUGUACAGCACAUACUUGCAUGUUAUGCGUACGUGUAAUGUGUAUUGCUAUGUGUGGGAUCUGACUAUCUAGUUGUUUAUCCUUAGUAGCCUCUCUUACCGGGAAAUGUCUCCUAGUGCUUCCACUGAGCCCUGGUAGCUUGCUACUGCUCCGGAACACUUAGGCUGGCCGGCAUGUGUCCUUCUUCGUUCCUGUGUCUGUCCCUUCGGGGAAAUGUCACGCGAUGAAUACCGGAGUCCUGUUAGCCCGCUACAGCCCGGUUCACCGGAGUCCUGUUAGCCCAGUGCUACAGCCUGGAUUCACUCGCUGAUGACCGACACGUUCGAUGCUGGGUCAUGGAUGCCUGUCCCUGUAAGUUAGUGCCACUUUGGGUUUACGACUAGCCAUGUCAGCCCGGGCUCUUUAUCAUAUGGAUGCUAGCAACACCAUCAUAUACGUGUGCCAAAAGGCGCAAACGGUCCCGGGCAAAAGUAAGGCGACACCCGUGGGGAUACCGUGCGUGAGGCCGCAAAGUGAUAUGAGGUGUUACAUGCUAGAUCGAUGUGGCAUUGAGUCGGGGUCCUGACAGCACCCGUGCCAAGCGCGCCUACUCCUGCGCCUUCCUCAGCUCGGCCACCGUCACCGGCACGUCCUCCCUCCCCCCUUCCUCCUGCACCACGCCAUCCUGUGCCUAUGCCCACGCACACCAUGGUUACGCGCGCACAACGUGGUACCUUCAAGCCAAACCCAAAAUACGCCCACCUCGCCACUGACGUAUCACCCAUCUCACCCAUCCCAAAAUCCGUAAGGGCUGCACUGCGUGAUUCGUCGUGGCUAACAGCUAUGCAGGAGGAGUACAGGGCACUGAUGAGCAACCGAACGUGGGAGCUAGUUCCGCGGCCGCCCGGCGCGAACAUCGUCAGUGGCAAAUGGUUGUUUCGGCACAAGCUCCGUGCUGACGGCACUCAAGAGCGCUACAAAGCGCGCUGGGUCGUGCGUGGCUUCUCGCAACGCCCCGGCGUCGACUUCUCGGAGACCUUCAGCCCGAUGGUAAAGUCUGCCACGGUGCGCGCCGUCCUCGCCAUCGCCGCCUCCCGCGACUGGCCCGUACAUCAAAUGGACGUCAACAACGCCUUCUUGCAAGGGCACUUGCGCGAGCGUGUCUACUGCCAGCAGCCUGUGGGCUUCGUCGACGACAGCCGCCCCGAGCAUGUCUGCCUGCUCGACAAAUCCUUGUACGGCCUCAAGCAGGCGACGCGUGCCUGGUACGAGCGGUUCGCGGAGUUUCUUCGGCGCAUCGGGUUCACCUCCAGCAAAUCCGACACCUCGUUGUUCAUACUACGGUGGGGCAACGACAUCGCCUACCUGCUACUAUAUGUCGACGACGUCGUCCUGACGGCCUCUUCCACGACACUACUCCGCCGCUUGAUCGACCAGCUGCUGAGUGAGUUCUCCAUGAAGGAUCUUGGGGCGCUCCACUUCUUCCUCGGCAUCUGCGUCACGCGCACUGCCUCCGGGUUCUUCCUGUCACAGCAGAAGUACGCUGAGGAGCUCCUCGACCGUGCCAACAUGGUGGACUGCCGUCCUGUGUCCACGCCAGUCGACACACAUUCCAAACUCUCCGCCGACGCCGGCGGUCCCGUAGCUGAUGCUUCCGAGUAUCGCAGCCUCGUCAGCGGCCUUCAGUACCUGACCAUGACGCGUCCCGACCUCAGCUAUGCAGUACAACAGGCGUGCCUGCACAUGCACGACCCGCGCGUGCACCAUCUCGCCAUGGUGAAGCGCGUCCUGCUACAUCCGCGGUACCGACGACCACGGCCUCCACAUCCAUCGCUCGCCGGCCUUGGACCUUGUUGGCUACUCCGACGCUGACUGGGCUGGCUGUCCGGACACGCGUCGCUCGACGUCCGGCUACGCGGUCUUCCUCGGCGACUCGCUGGUGUCCUGGUCGUCCAAGCGCCAGCCCACCGUCUCCCGGUCCAGUGCGGAGGCCGAGUAUCGCGCCGUCGCCAAUGUGGUUGCUGAGUGCUGCUGGCUCCGCCAGCUUCUCGGCGAGCUCCACGUGAUCAUCCCCAAGGCGACGGUGGUCUACUGCGACAACAUCUCGGCCGUCUACAUGGCGGCUAACCCGGUGCAUCACCGCCGCACCAAACACAUCGAGCUCGACAUUCACUUCGUUCGUGAGAAGGUCGCGCUCGGACAGCUUGGCGUGCUACAUGUACCUACUACACAGCAAUUCGCUGACGUAAUGACGAAAGGCCUGCCCACGGCAGCAUUCCAGGAGUUCAGGUCCAGCUUGUGUGUCCGUCCUCCGGACACAGCAGCUGCGGCGGGGUGUUGACGCAUGCCUCCUGACCUGGUCACCCACGUCCUCUCUCUCACGUUCCCACGUUCUGCCACCACUGCGUGCUCAACUGCUCGCACGAGUCUCUGCCACUACGGUGUGCACGAUUGUACAUGUAAAACUAUAUAAGCUGAUCAAUACGAUGUCAAGCACGACAGUGUGCAUUGCUCAAUCUGUCUUCAUUUAUCAAGGGUAUUGAUUACCGCACCAGCGACGCUUUCUUUUAAAGCAGGGUGCAUGGACGCCGUGCCAAAUGAAGGAUACCACUGUACCAGUCGUUAAUUAACAUGACUUUCUACUCUUUUCAAGCGGUUGAUCAACAUAGAGGUGCUUGAUACAUUUUAGUUCCAUGACUAAAAGUAAUGGGGAUAAAACUGCUUGGAUCCAAAUAUUAAAAAGACUAAAAUCAAAUUAAUGAGCAUUUAUUAUCUUCUAAACCCUUCAAUCUAAAACUCGAUUGUGUUACAGGUGAGGACUUAAAUAAGGAGAGAAAGGACUAAUCCACAUUUUAGUAGGGGUACCACUGACUAAAAUUUUUUAGUCUCAAGAUUAGUUUUAGCCCCUCUUUAGUCAGGGUCAAGGGUACUUGGAACUUUAGCCUCUUAAAGAGACUAUUUUUAAUCAGACUAAAAUAAGUCCUUUAGAUCCAAACACCCUCAUAAUUUAAUUAAGGACCUCCUUUAAAUUCUAGGAUCUGCGAAGCACAUGUUUGCUUGCUUCAAGAAUUUUAACUGCAGCUCCGUCGGCUCCAGAGCGGAGCCAUUGACCGGAGGGACACCAAACGGGCCCUAAAGUGCCACCCUGCCACUAUGAAGUUCCUGGAAUGCUGCUCAGUUGGGACUGUACGAAACCAGAAUAUGCCUUAUAAGAUGGAAGUUAUCCGAACUAUUUAUUAUUAUUUCCAUAGUAAAACUAUUUAUUAUUACUUUUGCUGUCCAUAAAUAUGAUUGUAUGACGAAAUGUCAACCAUCCUACCCGGGUUUUGAUUAAGGUGUCCCGAGCAUACUCGAACGGAUCAAUACAUACAUCAAGUUUGGCACAUUGUUUGACACCGAGGUCGUUGCUCUCGUGAACUUAAAGCCUCCUUCGGGCUUGAGGGCGAGAAAUUUCCUCACUGGACGAUCCCAAGGAGUCGGCGCUUUACCCUCUCCUUCAUCCACAUCCAAAUCGCACUCCUGCCCUACCCUAACAGGGAAAAUGCCUUUUACACUAAAACUACCGACACGUAAAAUUGACAGGCAUGGCUAAAUGCCAACACAACAUUUCUAAAUGUUUGCCAGGUGCGAAGCAUAGGCGUGCAGAUCAAGAAACAAACAUAACAAGUAGAAUAUCAUUCCACAUGAGACAUGGAUGCCAGACUCGAGGGACCAAUAAUCACGAGGCAAAAUUAAAGGAAGCUCGCCCAUGACUUCACUCUACAGUAAAGAAAUUCCUUGUUGCUUUGCGGAUCAUUCAAAAACAUCUUGUUCAUAGGUUGCUUAGCUUUUUGGCUGCAAUUGGUCUUUACGAGCAAUGGGUCAUCUAGUACUAUGCGAAAGCAAAAGGCGUUGAAGCCAAAUCCAACAACCGAGUUAGGGGGUGAAUCUAAAAUUAAUAUUUACUUCUGCUUCAAUACAACCCCCUUAAACACAUCAACGUAUGACAUCUCCCCAUACCCCUUUAUAAUAAAGGAAAGGAUGGUCUUUUUUUUAAGUGCGUCACCCGGAACGUCUACAUACGCGAAGCCCCCUAUGUGCUGGGCCGGCCCAUUUUUUCUUUCCUUUUUUUGUUAACCUGCAAAAAAGUGUGCACGACGUGAUUCAAACCUGUAACCUCCUUGUUAUGUGCACAACGCAGUAGCCAACCACACAACUCACAUGAUGUGAAUACUUACGUCCUUUUUCUCCUUUUCUUCUUUCUUCUGUUUGUGUCCCACUGAGCGAGGAACUCGUCGGUUUACCUUUUUAUUUUUACUUUUUACUUUUUUUCCUGGUUUCAUUUUCCCGAGGUCGCGGGUUUACUUUAUAUUUUCUCCUUUUCUCGUUUUGUUUGGCUGGUUUUACUUCUUUUUUUCUUGUUCCUUUUCUCUUUCUCUUUCUCUUUCUCUUUCUCUUUCUUUUUUCAUUUUCUUUUACUUUUAUUAAAAUUCCUAAAGAUUUUUUGAAUUGAUGAACUUUUUCAAAUCCGCAAAAAAAUCGAAUCAGCGAACUUUUUUUCAAAUCCACGAACUCCUUUCAAUUUUCACAAACUUUUCUACCAAAAUCUUUGAUCUUUUUUAAAUUAAUGAACUUUUUUCUCCAAAAUAGAUGACAACGACGGGUUUACUAUAGCGAAUAUAUCUUUUCACACUAUUUCUUUCUCUCUUUAUUCUAUUCAUUUUUUGUUUCUUUUUCAUUUUUAAAAAAUGCUCGUGCUUGUGUAAAUUAAUUUAAAAAAUUAAAAUGGUCACCUUUUCAAAUUUUGUUCAAAACAUACAAAUACUCGCAUUUUCUAAAAUUGUAAAGAAAAAUUAAAGAAUGUCCAUGUCUUUCAAAAUUGCAUAGAAUGCCAAAAUAUGGAUAUUUUCUAAAAAGAGCAAACAAAUUUUGAACAUGAACAUUUUUCUGGAAACACUACAAAUUUAGAAUUUAGAAAAAAUAAGAACAGAACAUUGAAACAAUUUUUUUAUAUUUGAAGGUGCUACAUGUGUCGGGCCAACAGACGCCCGAUAGGAGCAAUGCCGUCACCUAGUUGGGCCAAGGCCUAAGCGUUUCUUUUCAAAUUUCUUCUUCUUUUUCUUAAUUCAUUUUCACCUUUUUGGACUUUAUUCUUUUUGAAACAUGUUCAGAAAAUUGAAAAAUUGUUUGGAAUACCAAAAAAAUUCUUGUUUUCAAAUAUUGUCUAUAUGUUUGUGUUCCAAAAGAAGUUGAUGAAUUUUAAAAACAACACUUGGUUUGCAAUUUGUGUUCAGAAUUUUAAUAAAUUGUUGGGAAUUUGUUAACAAUUUUUUAAAAAAGUGUUCAUAUUUGUAAAAAUUUCGUAUAGUUUGAAAUUUUAAAAUUCUGGACAAAUAUCAAGAAAUGAUAUGGAGAUAAGAAAAUGCUCAUAUUCAUUGAUAACAAUGGAAUUUGCAAAUGGCAUAAGCAUUAAAAUUAGGAAAAACUACAUGGUCAUGAAUGCACUCGUGUGGCCAUCUGACGGAUGUAAAAAAACAACGUGCUUUCAAACGGACCCUUUUGGCCUACCUGAACACCUCCGUUGAAUAUGAUCUAUUUUGGACAUCCUUGAAACAACCCAACGUUUGCAAACAGGUGGGCAUGCUCAUGGUAGGCAUCCAUUUAUUGGCCCUUUAAACCGAGAAAACUCUAGAAAAUAUAGAAUUUAUUGGAAAACCAAAUAACUUGGCAUGGAACCUUGAACUGAUCAUACAAGGUCAUGGAAAAAAAUUUGGGGCCAUUUCAAAGAUGUCAAGGAACAACGUGCUCUCAGACGGACCCUUCCGGCCUAUCCGAACACUCUCCAUUGAACAUGAUAUUUGAAAUCUCAGGACUGACCCCAACUUUUUGCAAUCAAGUGGACAUGGCCAUGUUAGCCAUCCAUGCCUUGUUUGAACUAGUUCCGAUAUCGUAUGCACAUGGUGACACGUCGCACGAUUUAUCGGUCUUUUUCAUCAAGAAAACUUCUGAAAAUGCAAAACUUGUCAAAAACCCAAACAACUUGGCAAGGUGC
rnacentral:lncRNA from 1 species